CAUCUAAGUGUUUUGCAAGCAAGUAAACAUAGCACAUAAUAAUAAAUAUAGUAGACAAUCUGGGAUUCAACUGUCUUCUUAUUAAAGAUACAGAGUACAACGCAGAUGCAAACAAGGUAGUUCGGUACGGACUACAAAACAAGGGAAAUGCUAUGCUACCCGCUGCAGGCCCACGAUCACGACCACGGCUCAGUCUUCUGGAUAGUUCACGUAAAGGCGAUCUGUUUCCUCGUCGUACUGCCGCGCCAGCUGGGUGCCGUCGGGAUCGUCUGACUCGGGGGUACCUGUACCUGCUGGAAGUUUCAGAGGAAUCCGUGAGUCACGGGGACUCAGCAAUCUAAGACCUUGGUGCCAGACCUAGUCAUGUUAAUGGGUAAGGAAGGGAUGAAGUGUUUCAGACUGCUGCAUCCUAAGAUUGAAUAAGUGGCUAACUUACUCAAAGGGAAAAGUGACAGGGAUCUAUACUAACGGACGUGAAUACUUGAUCCGAAAGUGAUCCUGAACACCUACCUACGGCAUUCAUAACCCCGCCGUGUUCCCGAUCGAAGAGAGACCUUCGAGGGGACAGUCACGGAUACGCACACUGUUGACAUGUUUUAUUAGUUUAUGUUUAAGUUUUCUAAUACCGGAUGUUAACAAAAUAUUCCAAGUUGCCACAUAACCGCGGGCACGACUUUCCGAAAAGAUUAAACCCUGCAGGGGUGCUCCAACUAGUCCAUCACAAACGAACACAGGCCGCAAAGUCACCCUCUAUCACGAAUCUCGUGAUCUCGUCGGAUUCCUUAGAGGAAAACCUCAACUCUGGGGUAAACCAAAGCCUCACCGGGAUUCCUAUACGCAAGAUAUACCGCUAAGGUAAGACAAGGCUAGCAGGACCUCCCGGUGUGUCGACGACCCGAUAAGAGUCGCGUAUCUCCGUCUUAGGACAACACCGUCUAUGCAAAGUGGACAAGGACCAAACCUCAAGUUACCCCGGGGUGGUCUUGCCGACUGCUAGGUGGUUGGACCAACACUCAAGAGGAGCACUGGCCCGGGUUGUUGAUUAGGAUCCUCGGGGUAGCUAUUCCCUAUGCAGAUUAUUGUUAGGUGAUUAGCAGAUAGUACCAAAGUUGGGUCCUGCCGGACAAGCCUUAACACUACGCGAUUUAUCAAGGGGGUCCCCAUAACAACCCCGAACGUGUUAGGAGCGAUCAUUAUGGAAUCAAACACCGGUAACCGGUAACUAAGGCGGCAAUAACGGAACAAGACACCCGGCAAAAGGCUAGGCCUCCCGUCAUUUACCAAAUAUAUAGACACAUUAAUUAAAUAACAGAAAAUUAACAUAAUGAUAUCAAGCCCAUGGCAACUCAUGAGUUAUAAACACCUGCAACUAGCAAUGCUAACAUUAGCAGCUGAGCAAGCCUACCUAGCCAUGCAAGUUUGCUAGGAAAGGGUAAGGUGUUUAGGCUCAUGGCAUAUGAAGAGGUAAUAUAUUUUCUGUGGUAGGCAGCGAGCAAUAUGACGUAGAAUCGAAACUAACAUAACAAGUCUAGAUAUGGGAUCAAGGUCAUGUCAUCUUGCCUGUGAUAUCCUCAGCUUGGAAUGGUUCUGGAUCGUCCUGCAAGUACUCUCCUGACUCCACGUAAUCGGUCUCCGCUCCCGGUGCUACCCAACACAAGAAUGACAGCCAAUGAACAGCAGCACCACAAAAUGCAACAAUCACAUGAUGCAUGAGAUGAAAGUUGAGCAUGCACCACUAUUUCUAACACUAGCACAAGCAAGAUAAACUACAACGAGUUCCUGGACAGAACUUUGCUCUAAACUAUUUGGACAUGCACGGAAAUGAUAUGGACAGAUGCAUCUCGUAAAAGCGGUGCAAAACCAUAUAAAGAACUUUGCAAACGGAGCUACGGAUCAACGGGAACCAACCAAACACGAUAUGAAGCCCUACGUGAAAGAUUCAUCACCACACACACAAUUGGCGCAAAUCUGGUGUUUCCAGGUUUUCAAGACAUAUAUUAACCCAACAUGAAUGAAAUGGAGCAAGGUAGAACACCCCAACAACAAUUAAACACAAACUUUGAACAAAAUGUCAAAACUACGCAAUCUGCCAAUUUCUGCAUCUUAGCUGUUUGUGAGCCACAUGCAACAUAGCUACAGGUCUUCAAACAAGACAAAUAAUAUAUGUGGAUGUUGCCAACCAAGAACACUACCAUCUCCAGCAAAAAUCACAGCAAAAGGAGUUAAACUCUAGAAGAUACAAGGCCACAAACUUUCCCAAAACCAUCAGUUCUCAGGGACUUAGUGAAAAUUUCUGCACCUGAGUUUCUGUUUCUGUUCUGAAGCCUUUUGACAGCAAUCAAAACACAAGCUACUGGACUCCAAAUGACUUGAAAAUUGACAGGAAGCUGCACAAACAUACCAGGUCCAAAGCACUAGCACUGAACUAAGUCCAGUUCUCAAUAUUCUGACCUGCACAACCUUAUCUACAGGGGAAGAAAAUGUUUUCAGCAUUCCAGACUUAGUGAAAUUUUCAGAGUUCAAAAUUCUGGAAUUUUUCCAGCCACAUGCCCACUUUGUCUAGGCAUAGUUUGCACACACAAGUUCCCAAGAGGUGUUUGACACCACUAUGGUAUUGAGCACAAACCCCUACAACUAACACUCUAAGAUCCAUGCCUUUGGGCUCCAUCUAUAUCAUGGAAACAAAGCCCAAACUUUCAACAAAGUGCAAAUGCAAUCCAUAAGGUAUGCUCCUAAAAUGACAAGUACAUAGGGGAGUUUCAUGUGCACAAUGACAAAGUGACAUGGGGGUUUGAACCCCAUGUUUGUGUCAUGCACAUCAACAACUCCAACACCACAAUUGCUCUCAAGCACUAGCAUCAAGCUCCACAUAAGAAAUCUUUAUCUAACAAGAGAGUAUGCACACCCCCCCACAUAUGGGCAUGUGAUGGUGCACACUCUCACAAGCAUCACUAGGAUCUUCCUAGUGUUCAUGUCACCAUCAAUAUGCAAUCUACCACCACAAACCACACCCUCACAUGCUAACAUAAAUAGCUAUCUAGAACCUCACUUCACCCCAAAACAUGUGAUGAGGGGGAGGCAUCCACACCCCACUAAACCAAUGCAAACAUCUAAGACUACAAGAUCCCUUAGACCACCUUAAACUCCCAAAGAUGGGCUCCACAAGAGUAGCUAGUGCAUCUUCUCCUUGAGGCACACACACACAAUUACCACACAUCACAAGUACCAUACCCACCAAGUGUUUACCAAGCUAGCAAUACCACCUCUACUUACUUGUAGGUGCACAACACACACACAUAGGGCCAUGUUCUCAACUACACUAGCAAGGAAUAAGAAGAUAAAACCCUCUUGCUGCCCAACACAAGGGAGGGAAAGUGCAAAAAAAAACGAAUAAAAUAAAUAGGCAGCAAAGGAAAGAAAGAAAAAUAAAAAAUAAAAAAUAGCAAAACCAUUCCAGGGUCCCUGGGAUUCGAACUAGGCACCUACUGGAUUACCAGUCACCAACAAACCACUGCACUAGCUGCGCUACUGGUGACAGGAACGCGACAGGAAACAGAUAACUCCCCUUGCUGGCUACCGUAUAGGAAAAGAAACUAAAAAUUGUGCCGAGAGGGGGGUUCGAACCCUGGAUCUCCCAUCAGGCGCACGCAUAUGACAGAGAGGUACUACCAUCAGGCUACGAACUGGAGUCUGGCUAAGACUAGCAAGUAAAGAAGAACUACACACGCCUCACGAGAAGCAUCCCGCCGGCGUCCGGAGCCGAGGACGUUGGCGGCGCCACUCCCGGCCACCACCGGCAGGGGAAACCGUCGGCGGGGGCCGCGGGACUCCCGGGGGAUCCAUUUUUGCCCUAAGCACGGGAGAAGGAGCACCCUUGGCUGCCUUGAACUGCAGCGGCGUUCCUGCUACGCUGCAGUUCGCCUGGGAGCACGGGACAGAGAGCUUGACGGGCAGCCCUGCCUGCGUCGCUACGCUGCACGGCCGGCGUGGAGCUCGUGCAUACGGCGCUGAGGGACGCGAGGAGAAGACCCGCACCUGCUGGGUGCCCACCUACGCGGGGAGGAAACCCUGUGCAAACUGCAAGCUCUUCUCUGAUGAUAUACGCCUACCGAGACCUAGGUGACACGACCCCAGCUGCCGGCGGCGAGGAGAGUUCCUCUGAUCAUGGCGCUGCUGCAGAGAGGGGGAGGAAGCCCUCCUCUGCACAGUACCUCCAUAACAACCCUACCCCACCCUGCACCACUCGCGACUACUGCACCCCCCCCACACUGCUAUCGGACAGAGAAAUGCACACACGCUGGAACGAGCCGGACCGCGGAGGCGGAAGGAAGGAGGACGAGGACGCGGCCUCACCUUGAGGAGAAGAGGGGCGUCGAUCGGGGAGGAGGAGCGUCGGAGAGGAAGAAGACGGCCAGACGAAGUCGUCCCGCCGAAGACCGAAGAAGGAGACGGACGCGGAUCGCCCGGUUCGUCCCGUUGACGAGGACGAGCUCGACGGGGGGGGGGGCGCUCCUCGGGGUCCUAGCGCCGGGAAUGGGACGCGGGGACUCACCCCGAGCCCCCGGACAUGGUGCCCAGUGCCGGAGACGACGGAUCGGCGGCUUGACGGGGGAGGCGCUGCACCCUCUCUCUCUGCUCACUCUCAGGACUUACCA
rnacentral:lncRNA from 1 species